rnacentral:rRNA from 1 species
AUGUUGUACCAACUUCAUGUGGAUGCUGUGAAGCUUUACUACGAGAAUCAAGGAGAGAAGCUUGAUGACUCAAUGGCAUGUGCAAGAGAACUUGAAUAUGAGCAAUACCUCCAGAGUAGGAUACCAUGGUGCAAGGAAGUUGCAUGGCCUGGACUAUGUCGUUAUUGGACAUCAAAGGAAUACAAGGCCAAUAGGGGGAGGGGACGAGAAGCUCGCUUGAAAUCUGAGGAUAUUGCUCAAAACCGAGGAGGCUCACGACCUUUUGCGGAGGCACAAUAA